UGCCAACUCCACAACCAACACCACCAUCGGUUCCUCACUAUCGUCACCACAACCCCACUGCCGGCCCCAUUGUCACCACAUCCACCACCACAACACUGCCUACCACAAUAUUUCUCUCUCUCAUCACAGGACCUCUCAAUCACACGACCCAUCCAUACUCUUUUUUCCUCUGCAAACAAUCCCUCUUUCUCGCUCGAUUCUCUGGUUUGUAGCACCACAAUCUGUCGCUUUGGGAUUUUGUUGGAUCCUUAUAUAUGUACAUGUGCGAGUGUGUAUAUAUAUGUGCAUUUUUGAAUUUUGUGGGCAUUGUUUAUUCGAAUUUUGGGAUUUUCAGAAUCACAAUCCAGAUGCCAAGUUUGAAUUUUGGGAUUGUGAGUUCGAGUUUUGAGAUUGAGUUCAGAAUCAAAACCCUUAGUUUGAAUCUUGGAAUUUUGGUUUGUGGGUCUGUUUUGAUGUGAGUUUUUUGAUUAUUCGGAGAGAGAGAGAAACUCUCUGUGGGUCUUCUUCGAGUGGGUGUUCUGAUUACCAGUAGAGAGAGGGAGGGAGGGGAUGGAUUUGGUAUAGAAGGUGGUGUUCAGUGGUUGAUUUGGUUCCUUAUUUACAGAUGAGAUUUGAGUCUUCUUAAGUGACCCUUCACGGUGGCUUCAAUGUGGUCAAUCAGCUAGGCUCACAAACAUACAAUAUUUUAUGAUUGAAAAGUUCGGUAAUAUUCGAUGGGGACCUAUGAUGGAAAACUCAUACUGUCGAGCGGUUGCUUUGAUUUUCAUUACGAGCCUCUCCAUCAUCUUCAUUGCCGCUACCACCAGCACCACCAUUAUUGUUGUGGUUGUUGUUGUUAUUAUCAUUGUUAUUGUUUUUGGCGGGGAGAGUCUUUUAAUGAAGGUCAUAAUAACUGUCAAUGGAUUGUUAACAGUUAUGAGAUCUGAGGGGCUUAUCUAGUGUUGGUUUAUGAUUCCUCUUUCUGGUUUUUGUUCAUUAGGAUUGUGCUGUGUCUCUAUGGUAUAUUGAUUUGUUAAUUGAAGUGUGGAUGGGACAGGAAUUGUAUUCCUCUGAUGUGGUAUCUGUAUCUUUACUUUUGUGGGCUCUAUCUGAUUCAUUUUCUUCCUGCA